rnacentral:tRNA from 1 species
AAUAAAGUGGCUGAUUAGGUGUUAAACUGUAAAUUUAAAGAUGAAGAAUUUCCUUUAUUA